CCCGCUGAACUUAAGCAUAUUAUUAAGCGGAGGAAAAGAAACUAACAAGGAUGCCCUCAGUAACGGCGAGUGAAGCGGGCAAAGCUCAACCUUCUAAUCGGGGUCCUACGCGGGAUUCUCGAAUUGUGGGCUAGAGACGAGUGAUCAGCUGUAGACCCAGGUAUAAUUCCUCUUGAAACAGGGUAUCAUAGAGGGUGAGAAUCCCGUCUGUGACCUGGAGUUCUUAGUGGACGAUCCUCGUUCGCAGAGUCGAGUUGUUUGGGAUUGCAGCUCUAAAUGGGUGGUAAAUUUCAUCUAAAGCUAAAUAUCGACGAGAAACCGAUAGCGAACAAGUACCGUGAGGGAAAGAUGAAAAGAACUUUGGAAAGAGAGUUAAACAGUACGUGAAAUUGCUGAAAGGGAAACGCUUGAAGUCAGUCGCGUUGUCCGGGGAUCAACCUUGCUUUUGCUGGGCGUACUUCCCGGUUGACGGGUCAGCAUCAAUUUUGACCGUUGGAUAAAGUCUAGGGGAAUGUGGCAUCUUCGGAUGUGUUAUAGCCCUUGGUCGCAUACAACGGUUGGGAUUGAGGAACUCAGCACGCCGCAAGGCCGGGUAUUCGUACCACGUUCGUGCUUAGGAUGCUGGCAUAAUGGCUUUAAUCGACCCGUCUUGAAACACGG
rnacentral:rRNA from 1 species